rnacentral:pre_miRNA from 1 species
GUAGAUACAUAGCUUUUACUCUGUUCCGAAUUAUAAGUCGCUUUGACUUUUUUGGUACAUCGAUUUUGCUAUGUAUCUAGACAUGUUGUUAUAUCUAGAUACAUAGCAAAGUGGAUGUACCAAAAAAGUCAAAGCGGCUUAUAAUUUGGAACGGAGGGAGUACUAUGUUCGUUGC